CGACUAUUCAGAUAAAGAACUUUGUUUCAUAUGCUUCAUUUGUUUCGAAAUCUCUGAACAAAAAUGUCCUCUUUCAAUUGCCUUGCUUUAGCAUUCUUGAUUGCUUUGUCAUUUGCAAGCAUUGAUGUUGGGCUAGCAGCUCGUCACCUUCUGCAGCAGCCUCAACCGCAAAGUUUACCAUCUUUCCCUAAUCUCCCAACGCCAUCCCGACAAUCAUUCCCAUGGCCUGGGGCGCUUCCUCCACUUCCUACCACAUUGCCAACAGGACUACCCCCUCUGCCAAGCAUUCCCUCAGUCCCCACAAUCCCAACUGCAGUUCCCCCUAUUCCUUUCUCUUUUCCACCAUUGCCAUCUUUCCCUAAUCUCCCAAACCCUGGGGCGCUUCCUCCACUUCCUACCACAUUGCCAAGAGGACUGCCGCCUCUGCCAAGCAUUCCCUCAAUCCCAACUGCAGUUCCCUCUAUUCCUUUCUUUUCUCCACCACCUUCUCGUUCUACUCCUUGAAAUACCCCCUUUUCUGUUAUGCUGCAUACUGGAUCUAGUUUAAUAAGGUUUUUAGUCGUCUUUGUGUCUUUGUUAUGAGUAUUGAUUUUGCCCACUUAUAUUUGUUUGUAUAAAUGGGCGUUCUCCAAUUCCCAUUAUUUGGUGUAUUUUGAUACGUUGUUGCUUAUUAUAUAUGGGGUAUUUAUAUAUUGAUGUUCUGUCCAUGAAGUAAUUAAUUACUGUUAUACCAUUGUUAACAUGAGUUUGGCUAAUUAAGAAAAGAAUCAAACGAUAAAUGCAGUCAAAAUAGUGAGCAGCCGUACAUCGAGAAGAUGCCACUUUUAAUAUAAUGAUUCCUGCUUCACUAUCUCUUCCAAGUUAUCCAUUUACAUACGAUUACUUUCCUCUUUCAAUAUAUUUCCAAGAUAAUAUUUUAUAUGAAUGUUAAAUUAUGUAUUAAAUUAAGGUGCUUGGUUUCGUACAGAUUUCGGUUAUAUUAAUUUGUGUGCACUGUAUUAAUUUUAUACCGAAAUAUUAAUAUUUUUAAAAUUAGAUCGAUAAUUAAAUUAAUCAAUUAAUUAAUUUUUGAUCUCACAUGUUCAACCACCAAAACAAUUAAUUUUUUAUUGAACAAUAUAAAAUAAUAUUAAUAACCCCAAAACUCAUCUAUUUUGACGGCUUUGAAUUUUAAAACCCUCUCCCCAUCUUUCAUCUUUCCUAAUUUGUCUUUUUUUUUCCUUUGAUUGAAUGUUAUAAGUCCAGGUUUUUCACUGAGUAAUAAAAAAGUAAUAAAAGAAACAGUGCUUACUCUUUUUAUGGUUUGUUUUAUUUCAUUGAGUUAAGAGAAGAAGUGUAACAAAAGCUCAAGGGAUCUGAAGUGAAAUUUUUGUUUUCCAGUCUAGAAAAUGCGAAAAUGCGGCUUAAUCAACUGAUGAUUUGCAGUUUAACUGCAGUUUACUCUAGUUCUCGGGUUCAUCGGUUUUUGGUCUAUUUAGUUUGGUUUCAAUAACAUUGCGAAACACCCAAAACCCUUUUUCUACACUGGUAAAAAUUUUGGUCUGUACCAAUUGCACCAACUCAUUCCGAUCAAUUCCUAUCACACCUGCCAGAACAUAGUGCACCGUCCUAUGCAUGAAUAAUAUUAAAAAUAUUAAACUUUUAAUAAUUUAAUAUUAUGCUAAAAACUUAAUUGAAACGUGACUAAUUAAAAACGCUACAUCGGGAUGUAAAUUUUUUAAAAAAAUGGAAUAUACUUUCACAUUCAAAAUAUAAUUAAGAAAAAUUCAUUUACCUGAUUAUCAAAUAAAAAAUAUUCGUUCACCUUUCAGCUUCUUUUAUUAAGUAAAUGAGCUAAAUCUUUAAAAUUUCAUAUUAAAUGAUGGAUUAUUAUUAAUAAUUUUGGAUUUAUUUGAAUGAUAAAUUUUUAUUUGUUAAGUUUAUUAAUGAAUAUUUUAUAUUUGAAAUGUAUUUAGUUUCAUUCAUUUUAUAUUUGUAAUAUAUUUAUAUACAUAUCUUAAAUAAUUUUAAAAAAUAUUGAUAAAUCUGAAAAGAUAUGCAUCAAUUCUAGUAAAAAAAAUCAAACAAAAAAUCAAAUGUCCACUAAUAUAAAGAAAAGAAAUCUCAAUUCUUAAAAUUUCAAUUCCUUUAUAUUUAAAGUUGAAGACAGUAGAAGAAAAAUAGAAAUAAGUAUUAACAAUGAAAUUAGAUUUGAAUAACGUUGUCGCUAGGAAUAAUUUAUUGACAAUUUUUAUAAGACGUUACAUGUAUUUAAUAUGAUAUAAAAGAAUUAUGUACAAUUUUGGUUGGGAUUAAAAAAUUAACAUGUUUAUCUCCCAAAUCAAUUCGGUCCUAUGUCUUUAAAAUAAAAUUCUAUUAACAUGUGUAUUUCGAAUACAAAUGUUUAAAUUUCAACUUAAACACAAAGGCACACUAAAUAAAUUCUAUUCUAAAUUUCAUUCAGCUCAAUUUAUUAUAAAAAAAGUUAAUUACGUAAUUAAGUCAAAUUCGAAUUGACCCAAAUUUGUCUAAAUUUAAAAUGAUUUGAUCACAAAAUAAUUGAAACUUAAAAUGAUCAAAAUCUAAAAUGAUUCGGAUCAAUAAUGAUUACACAUGAAAAACUUAGCCUCAAAUUCGAAUGAUUUGAACCUAAAUAAGACAAAUCUGAAAAUGACCUAAACCACAUUUGAAGUUUUCAUGUAUUUUAAAGAAUUACACAUAUUAAACAUAUCUUAGAUACACUUAUAAAAUGAUGUUUAUAUAGAUUUGGUUUACUAUAAACUUGUAAGACUCAAAAUAAGAGAAUAUAUAUGCGCACACGAGGACUGAGCCUAAUAGCUCAAUUCCAUUCAAAUGGGAAUUUUUUUUUCAAUUUUUUCAUUGCACAUGAUACAAAUUAAAUCUUGAGGGAUAGUAAAUCCACGAAUAUCCUAAAGAAUAGGGAAAUUCAUGCCUCAAGCAACAAUUCUAACUUUCUAAACUAUUGAUGUUUUUAACAAAGCUAAAAUGAUCUUAAAAUUUUAAGACAUAAUUUGAGACAGUGAAAUCUUGAAGGCCAAAGUUUAAGUCACAUUAUGAAUAAAUUAAAUGUUAACUUUCUAAACUAUUGAUGUUUUUAACAAAGCUAAAAUGAUCUUAAAAUUUUAAGACAUAAUUUGAGACAGUGAAAUAUUGAAGGCCAAAGUUUAAGUCACAUUAUGAAUAAAUUAAAUGUAUGCCAUACUUUAGAUUUAUUCUAAUUAUUUAGUUCGUUUCUAAUGUACAUAAAGUUUGCCAACAUGGAGGAUUGUUCAAGUAUUCUAUUUGAAAUAUUACUUUAAUUAAGGAAAUAAAUCUCAAAAUUUUACACAUGAAUAUUGCUUCAAUCUAUAAUGUCAAACAUAAACUUUAAUUUAAUGUGCACUAUGACACUUAAAUUAUGUUAAUUUUAUGCAAUUGUAUAUAAUAAAUUAUGAUUUUGAUUUAAUUUAAUUUGGGUUUGAGGCUCGAGUUUUUUGAGCUGAGUCAUUAUAGGUUUCGAUUAUUUCAUAUAUUGUGAAAAUUCAAUUGCUGUCUUUAUGGCUAAGAGCGACAAAAGUGAAAGUCGAAGUAAACAUAUUGACUUUAAGUAUCUAGUCAUAAAGGAACAUGUUAAAGAAAAGAAAGUCGUCAUUGAGCACAUUAACAUUGAGCAGAUGUUAUCUGAUCCUUUGACUAAAGGCAUGCCACCGCCCAAAAUUUAAGGAUCAUGUUGUCAUUGUGGGACUCGUUCCCACCUUUUUAAAUUUUAUUAUAAGAACGAUUAUAAAAAAAAACACUGUUAAAUUAAUUCCAAGUCAUUAUAAAUUUGUUAAUUAAAGAAUAGGUAAAAUUAAUAGAAAAUAAAACAAAAACAAAAACGUUGAUAAUAAGUUAAAAAUUCAUCCAAAUCAUUAUAAAUUUUUUAUUUAAAAAUGAACUACAAUUAAAAUGGAAAAAAAUAAAAAAAAACAUGUGGCGCUAUUUUGGUUUGGGGGCAUGCAUGGGGCAUUGUUUAAGGGCAGGGGAUUUCUAUUCACUGCUCCAAUGCCUAUAUAAACCUCAAUACCAUGCUUUGUUUUCUUCACCCACAACUAUUCAGAUAAAGAACUUUGUUUCAUCUGCUUCAUUUGUUUCGAAAUCUCUGAACAAAAAUGGCCUCUUUCAAUUGCCUUGCUUUAGCAUUCUUGACUGCUUUGUCAUUUGCAAGCAUUGAUGUUGGGGUAGCAGCUCGUCACCUUCUGCAGCAGCCUCAACCGCAAAGUUUACCAUCUUUCCCUAAUCUCCCAACGCCAUCCCGACAAUCAUUCCCAUGGCUUGGGGCGCUUCCUCCACUUCCUACCACAUUGCCAACAGGACUACCCCCUCUGCCAAGCAUUCCCUCGGUCCCCACAAUCCCAACUGCUGUUCCCCCUAUUCCUUUCUCUUUUCCACCAUUGCCAUCUUUCCCUAAUCUCCCAAACCCUGGGGCGCUUCCUCCACUUCCAGCCACAUUGCCAAGAGGACUGCCGCCUCUGCCAAACAUUCCCUCAAUCCCAACUGCAGUUCCCUCUAUUGCUUUCUUUUCUCCACCACCUUCUAGUUCUACUCCUUGAAAUACCCCCUUUUCUGUUAUGCUGCAUACUGGAUCUAGUUUAAUAAGGUUUUUAGUCCUCUUUGUGUCUUUAUUAUGAGUAUUGAUUUUUCCUACUUAUAUUUGUUUGUAUAAAUGGGCGUUCUCCAG
rnacentral:lncRNA from 1 species